rnacentral:lncRNA from 1 species
GAUCAGCCGUGCUCACGGGUAUGAGCGGCCUGGACCCUCACAUGAUAAUAUUAUCGGAAGAUGGACUUAACUUGUUAUCAUUUCAUGCAUAUGUUGUUUACUUUAUGUUCAUGUUUAAUUUCGGGUGGUAUGAACUUAUACUUAGUUAAUUGCUAAUAAAACUUGACCAACUUAAUUAAAAGCGAAUGCUAUUUAUGCCUUAGCCAUACCUUGGUUUGCCUUACACUACACUAUUCCCC